UACGUAGGGUGCAAGCGUUGUCCGGAAUUAUUGGGCGUAAAGGGCUCGUAGGCGGUCCAUCGCGUCGGGAGUGAAAAGCUGGGGCUCAACCCCAGUCCUGCUUCCGAUACGGGUGGACUAGAGGUAGGCAGGGGAGAACGGAAUUCCUGGUGUAGCGGUGAAAUGCGUAGAUAUCGGGAGGAACACCAGUGGCGAAGGCGAUCACCUGGGGUUGUUCUGACGCUGAGGAGCGAAAGCUAGGGGAGCAAACGGG
rnacentral:rRNA from 1 species